rnacentral:rRNA from 1 species
UACGUAGGGGGCUAGCGUUGUCCGGAAUUACUGGGCGUAAAGGGUGCGUAGGCGGCAUUUUAAGUCAGAUGUGAAAUACCCGGGCUUAACUCGGGGGGUGCAUUUGAAACUGGAAUACUUGAGUGCAGGAGAGGUAAGUGGAAUUCCUAGUGUAGCGGUGAAAUGCGUAGAUAUUAGGAGGAACACCAGUGGCGAAGGCGACUUACUGGACUGUAACUGACGCUGAGGCACGAAAGCGUGGGGAGCAAACAGG